GAACCGUACAAACGUUAUUCGGAAUCACUGGGUUUAAAGGGUGCGUAGGCGGCCUGACAAGUUGGGUGUGAAAUCCCUCGGCUCAACCGAGGAACUGCGCCCAAAACUGUCAGGCUAGAGGGAGAUAGAGGUGAGCGGAACUUAUGGUGGAGCGGUGAAAUGCGUUGAUAUCAUAAGGAACACCAGUAGCGAAGGCGGCUCACUGGAUCUCUUCUGACGCUCAGGCACGAAAGCUAGGGGUAGCGAACGGGAUUAGAUACCCCGGUAGUCCUAGCUGUAAACGAUGAGCACUGGGUUGGAGGGACCCCCCCAUAUCCCUUCCAGCCGAAGCGAAAGUGUUAAGUGCUCCACCUGGGGAGUAUGGUCGCAAGGCUG
rnacentral:rRNA from 1 species